rnacentral:rRNA from 1 species
UACGUAGGGGGCAAGCGUUGUCCGGAUUUAUUGGGCGUAAAGAGCGUGUAGGCGGCCACGCAGGUCCGUUGUGAAAACUCGAGGCUCAACCUCGAGAUGUCGGCGGAAACCGUCUGGCUAGAGUCCGGAAGAGGAGAGUGGAAUUCCUGGUGUAGCGGUGAAAUGCGCAGAUAUCAGGAAGAACACCUAUGGCGAAGGCAGCUCUCUGGGACGGUACUGACGCUGAGACGCGAAAGCGUGGGGAGCGAACAGG